CGUUUCUCCGCCGGCGACCGGCGCACGGGUGAGUAACACGUAUGCAACCUGCCCCUGUCAGGGGGACAACCCGCCGAAAGGCGGGCUAAACCCGCGUACAUGCCACCGGGCAUCCCGGAGGCAGGAAAGGCUUCGGCCGGACAGGGAUGGGCAUGCGGCGCAUUAGGCAGUAGGCGGGGUAACGGCCCACCUAACCGACGAUGCGUAGGGGUUCUGAGAGGAAGGUCCCCCACACUGGUACUGAGACACGGACCAGACUCCUACGGGAGGCAGCAG
rnacentral:rRNA from 1 species